GACGAACGCUGGCGGCGUGCUUAACACAUGCAAGUCGAGCGGUAAGGCCCUUUCGGGGGUACGACGAGCGGCGAACGGGUGAGUAACACGUGGGUGACCUCGCCCUCGGCUCUGGGAUAAGCCUGGGAAACGUGGGUCUAAUACCGGAUAUGACUCCAUGACGCAUGUUGGUGGGGUGGAAAGCCUUGUGCGGCUGAGGAUGGGCCCGCGGCCUAUCAGCUUGUUGGUGGGGUGAGGCCUACCAAGGCGACGACGGGUAGCCGGCC
rnacentral:rRNA from 1 species